GAGGGGAUGGGGAUUCUCUCAAGCAAUUUUGACGGGGACGGGGAGGGGACGGGGACAUAUGCAAAACAUCGGGGAUGGGUAUGGGGAGAUUGGUCCCCUCCCCUCCCCUCCCCAUUGCCAUCCCUAGUCCUGAGAGCAUGUUACAUGUUGUAUACUGUUAGACGGCCGCGUACGCAUGGUGAAGACCUCUCAACAAAGUCUUUCAAUAAAUAAUUAUCAAUACACAAAUACAAUAUACUACUUGUAAUGUUCCUCAUUAAUCGGUCUUAAUGGGUAAUUAAUACAUGUCGAUUGGAACCACAAAUUGCAUAUUAAAAGUUUAGAACUUGAGUUCAGAACUUUUCGCCAUCUCAUUUUACCUCACCAAUCUUCAUUUUUCAGUUAACACCAUUAAAAAAUUUAAAAUAAUACUACUUGUUAAAUAUACCCCAUUUAAUCCCCACUUCAUCCUCAUAAUAAUUUUUAUCCUUUUUUUUUCCCCAUAUAUCUAUCCCAUUGUAUAAAACUUAAAAAAUCAGAUUUAAAAGAAAAAAAAAAUGAUAUGAUAAUCUCUCUCUUUCUUAUCAACAUUGAACAUAGCAUAAUAAUCACAUUAUUAUCACCACUCAUACCAAAAACACGAUAAUUUAUCGUUUAUGAUCCAAAUCAUUAUCAAUAUUGAUAUAUUAUUAUCAAAGCUCUUCCACUCAUAUCUAUUUUUUACUACUGGAGGAUUAUGAUAUCAAUAAUACCGAUCAUUCAAGGGACAAUUAGGGUGUUAAAGAUAAUUAAACAUAUUACAAAAAUUAAAGGGAAGAAAACUUUGAACUUACAUAAGGAUAAUCUAAGUACAUAUUAACAUAAAAAUGACAAAUGAAAGUUGAUGAGAUAAAAUAUCACCAAUAUCACCGCACUUUGAAUUUUUCAUUUUUUCUUCAUGUGAAAGUUCUUAGUUGAAGGAAUUGCAGUAGUGGGCAUUAAAGAGUUCUGUAAAUGGUGCAAUCGUCCACGCCAUUAAAUGAUUUGUUGCAUACCCAUUUGCUCAAUGUGUUUUAAAUACAUCAACUUGACGAUUGAAUUUGAAGUUGCUAAUUAUUCCUAACCGUACGUGUGCAAACCAUAUCACGCCCAAUCGAGAUAUGGACACACAACUGUUAAAACCAGAACGAAUUAAUUAAUUAAAUUAACAUGUCACGGACUGACCGUAAAGGACUCAACAAUAAAAUAUUUUCUUAAUUAAUUCAAUCAUCUCAAGGAAGUUAUGUUAUAAAAUUAAAAAAUAUCAAAAGAUCAAAUAGUAGUGUAAAGCUUUGAUUUGAUUUGAAUUUCGUGUUCUAUUUUAAGGCCUUUAACUUUAGGGCAGGCCAGUCCGCGGUCGUACCACUAGCACAAGUGAGUGGAGGAAGGUGGGUAUGGCCUUAAAAAAGUUAAAAUUUGACUCCCUUUCAUCUCUUCGUGACUAUUCUUUAUGAACCUUUAAUCUUUUAACACCCAAUACCAAAUCGAUCAAAUAUACGAGUCACUCUUUCAUGCAACUUAGGAAUCCGCCGUGUGAUCACUCAUCAACCAUUUGUAUUUUGUGCGUGGAAUAUGAUGAUUGAUGAAAUCCAAUCUAUUAAGUAGACGGUGAUCACAAUUGUAUGUAUUUUGCAGACACUGGUAUUAGAUCAUCUUAUAUAUGUGUGUGUGUUAGAAAUCUUGAAGUGUAGAAAAAAUUUACGAAAAUUUUAAAAUCAUAGGAUUUAAGAAAUUUAAAAUUUAAAGCAUUUAAACUAUACGAUUUAUGCGUUUUUUUAAAAUACAAAAUUUUAAGUUAUAACAUACUUAUAUAUAUAUAUACAUAUAUAUUAUCUUAAAGAAUUCCCUAGUUAAUAAGUCAAGCUGGUUUCUAAAGGACCAAGUUGCUACGCGUGUACAGAGGAUUAAAGAAUUUAUUCCCUUAUCUUAAUCAAAUAUUUAAUUGACAAUGUAACAGAAAGGAAAGAAGAAGACUAGCCUAAUAAAGGAAAGAAAAAUAAAAAGAUCUUCUUCUUUAAACAUAGCCACACUGUGAAAGACAACAUAACAUACCAUUUUAGGAGGGUGACUGGGUGAGGUAUCAUCACUUUCACUUUACAUUUAAUAUUAGUUUUGUGGUCAAACAAAGACAAACGGUACCCCAUUUUUUGUUUUUUUUUGUUUUUUUUUUAAUUUUAUUUUAUUUUUAAAAAAUUAUCAUUCGUAUACUCUAUAAAUAUUCUGUUAUCAAAAAUAUUAUAACACUUUAAGGAUGUAUCAAUCGUCUAUCAUAAAUUGACAAAAUAUAUUUGUUGUCCACCAAACCGUUAUUUACCGUUUAAAUAGGAUAACGCCAUAUGAAUAAUUUAGUCUUUUCAUAUAAUACAAGUGAUAAUUUAA
rnacentral:lncRNA from 1 species